rnacentral:rRNA from 1 species
UACGUAGGUGGCAAGCGUUUGUCCGGAUUUAUUGGGUUUAAAGGGUGCGUAGGCGGCCUUGUAAGUCAGUGCUGAAAUAUCCCGGCUUAACCGGGAGGGUGGCAUUGAUACUGCAGGGCUUGAGUAAAGUUGAGGUUGGCGGAAUUGACGGUGUAGCGGUGAAAUGCUUAGAUAUCCGGAGGAACACCGGUGGCGAAGGCGGCUUCCUGGACCGACACUGACGCUGAGGCGCGAAAGCUAGGGGAGCAAACGGG